UGGGGAAUAUUGCACAAUGGGCGCAAGCCUGAUGCAGCCAUGCCGCGUGUGUGAAGAAGGCCUUCGGGUUGUAAAGCACUUUUGUCCGGAAAGAAAUCCUUGGCUCUAAUACAGUCAGGGGAUGACGGUACCGGAAGAAUAAGCACCGGCUAACUACGUGCCAGCAGCCGCGGUAAUACGUAGGGUGCAAGCGUUAAUCGGAAUUACUGGGCGUAAAGCGUGCGCAGGCGGUUUGCUAAGACCGAUGUGAAAUCCCCGGGCUCAACCUGGGAACUGCAUUGGUGACUGGCAGGCUAGAGUAUGGCAGAGGGGGGUAGAAUUCCACGUGUAGCAGUGAAAUGCGUAGAGAUGUGGAGGAAUACCGAUGGCGAAGGCAGCCCCCCUGGGCCAAUACUGACGCUCAUGCACGAAAGCGUGGGGAGCAAACAGGAUUAGAUACCCUGGUAGUCCACGCCCUAAACGAUGUCAACUAGUUGUUGGGGAUUCAUUUUCCUUAGUAAACGUAGCUAACGCGUGAAAGUUGACCGCCUGGGGGAGUACGGUCGCAAGAUUAAAACUCAAAGGAAUUGACGGGG
rnacentral:rRNA from 1 species